AGCUCCAAUAGCGUAUAUUAAAGUUGUUGCGGUUAAAAAGCUCGUAGUUGGAUUUCUGCCGAGGACGACCGGUCCGCCCUCCGGGUGAGUAUCUGGCUCGGCCUGGGCAUCUUCUUGGAGAACGUAGCUGCACUUGGCUGUGUGGUGCGGUAUUCAGGACUUUUACUUUGAGGAAAUUAGAGUGUUUCAAGCAGGCAUACGCCUUGAAUACAUUAGCAUGGAAUAAUAAGAUAGGACCUCGGUUCUAUUUUGUUGGUUUCUAGAUCUGAGGUAAUGAUUAAUAGGGAUAGUUGGGGGCAUUCGUAUUUAACUGUCAGAGGUGAAAUUCUCAGACCAGCGGAAGACGAACCACUGCGAAAGCAUUUGCCAGGGAUGUUUUCA
rnacentral:rRNA from 1 species